GUGUAUGGCACGUGUGGUAUGUGUACCUGUGUGAGGUGUGUAUAGUGUGUGAGUGAGGGGUGUGUGUGUUGUGUGUGUGACUGUAUACGUCUGUAUGAAGUGUGUGAGGGAUAGGUGUCUGUGAGGUGUGUGUUUCUGUGUAAGGCAUUUGUACGUGUGUGGUGUGUGAAGUGUGUGUUUAUGUGAGAUGUGUGUGUGAGUUGUGUGUGUGUGGUGUGUGUGGCAUGUUUGUGUGGAGCGUGUCUUUGUGUAGCAUGUGUGUAUAGUGUGAGGUGUGUGUGCAUGUGUGGGGUGUAUAGGGGGUGUCUGUAUGAGAUGUGUGCACGUGUGUCUGUGAGAGGUGUGUGUGUGCAUGUGUGAGGUAUAUGAAGUGUUUGUGUGAUGUGCGUGGUGUGUUUCUGUGUGGUAUUUGUGUGGUGUGUUCGCAUACAUGUGUGUGGUAUGGGAGGUAUGUGUGUGGUGUGUGAGGUGUGUGUCUGUGUGAAGUAUGGGGUGUGUGAAGUGUGUGGUGUGUAUGUGUGAGGUGUAUAUGUGUGUGAAAUAUGUAUGUGGUGUGUUUGUAUGUGUAUGUGUUUGAGGGGUGUGUGUGUAUGUGUGUGAGGUGUGUGUGUGUGAGGGGUGAGGUGUGUGUGGUGUGUGUGCGAGGUGUGUGGGGGGUUGAGGUGUGAGAUGUGGGAGGUGUGUGGUGUGUGUGAGGUGUGUGUAUGUGUUGGAGGUAUUUGCGUAUGUAUGCGUGUGAAUGUGUGUAUGUGUGUGAAAUGUUUAUGUGGUGUGUUUGUAUUUGUAUGUGUGUGAGGUGUGUGGUGUGUGAGGAGUGCCUGUGGUGUGUGUGUGAGGUGUGUAUAUGUGUGAAAUAUGUAUAUGGUGUGUGUGUAUGUGUGUGAGGUGAGUGUGGUGUGUGAGGUGAGUAUAUGUGUGAAAUGUGUAUAUGGUGUGGUGUGUGUGUGAAGUGUAUGUGUGUGAGGUGUGUAUGUGUGUGAGGUGUGUAUGUGUGUGAAAUAUGUAUAUGGUGUAUUUGUAUGUGUAUAUAUGUGAGGUGUGUGGUGUGUGUGUGUUAUGUGUGUGAAAUGUGUAUAUGGUGUAUUUGUAUGUGUAUGUGUGUGAGUAGUGUGUGGUGUGUGUUAUGUGUGAAGUGUAUGUGAGGUGUGCUAUGUGUGUGAAAUGUGUAUAUGGUGUAUUUGUAUGUGUAUGUGUGUGAGUGGUGUGUGUGGUGUGUGGUGUGUGUGAGGUGUAUGUGAGGUGUGUAUGUGUGUGAAAUGUGUAUAUGUUGUGUUUGCAUGUCUGUGGAUGUGUGGUAUGUGUGAGGUGCCUGUGAGGGGUGUGCACACACCGGCACAGAUACACUGAGGAGAUGUCCCUCUUGGCUCAGCGGCGUGGACGUGUGCUAUGGGAUUGGAACAGUCGGGAGGAGGAAGGCGCUCGCCUUCUCUGUGCGCAUGUCCUUUGACUUUUUCUUACAGACUCCUGCUCUGAUGUGCUGAUCUCUGAGUCAUGUUUCUCUUUUCAUGCUAGAC
rnacentral:lncRNA from 1 species